AGAAGCGGCCACCUCAACGUGGAACACGCCGGAACCCGUCCGCUCUCCGAAGCUAAGCGCGUUCGAGUCCCAAUAGUACUGCCGUGGGUGACCAGGCUGGAAGGUGGGAUGUCGCUUCUU
rfam:Nannochloropsis gaditana CCMP526 unplaced genomic scaffold scaffold206, whole genome shotgun sequence.